CUCACGCGGGAAUCUUACCGGGUCCGGACACACUGAGGAUUGACAGAUAUAUACCCGUGAGUACUUCGGUGCUCGCGGGUUGAAAGAUGCUAGUUCUUUCAUGAUUAUGUGAUAGGUGGUGCAUGGCCGUUCUUAGUUCGUGGAGUGAUCUGUCUGCUUAAUUGCGUAUCAAUAAUAGAGACCUAGUAUACGCGUAGACUCAUGCGGUAGUGACCCCCCUUCACAGGGCGCGUGUCGCACGUAUGUUAUACGCACAGGUCUCCGAUAGCAACGAACGUGACCGUACUCUAUUGUUGCAGCGACAAUACCCUUCAACGGGUAUUACCGCUGCUUAGCAAGAUUCGUCUUGCAUUAAACUAUAGAGACCGCUGUUUCUUCUUUAAACCAGAGGAAGGAUACGGCAAUAACAGGUCUGUGAUGCCCUCAGAUGUUCCGGGCUGCACACGUGCUACAAUGAUCAUUGCACUGUGCAUCUAACCCAAUGUGCGCGGACGCCGCCGUGCGUAUAUACUUUAUUGUGUAUGCGUAUCGUGCGUGCGACCGCGCCGAACCUGCUUCGAAAGUAAACAUUUCCAGCGGGUAAUCCAUUAGAAGUAAUGACUCGCAUAGACCAUGGCACACUAUAUGUACCCGCGGGUUCUACCCGGCUCGCCUUUGUGUGAGUGCAGUGCGUAGCUCGUUGUUUGGUACGUGCCACUCCGUAUUAAUUCAUACGUGGGGAUAGAUCAUUGUUUAAUUGUUGGUCUCGGUCUUAACUAGGAAUGCCUUGUACGGGUCUUUGGUUCAACAUACCAC
rnacentral:rRNA from 1 species